rnacentral:lncRNA from 1 species
UGUAAGUGUAAUCGUAAUCCUAAUCAUAGAUGUAUGAGAGUUUUCGCAAAUGUCUACUAGUAGUCGUAGUCAAGGUUUCAUAGUACACAUUUCUGUUUGUACAAAUAAUUGCCUGUAUGAUAAAUGAUUACAGUUGUAAGAUGGGGUCGUUUGUUUAUGUGUCACAUAUUUGUUUUGCGUUCAUUUUUUUAUAUAAAUAAG